rnacentral:lncRNA from 1 species
CGCUAAUAUUUACUUCGCCAGUAUUAUUGCCCUCUUAUCAUUUCUUCAUCCCGAAACGCCCCUUUCUCCCAUGAACGAUUCCGCUCCCGCCCCUCUUUGACCCAGAUGGUUUAGUUUUAAUUUCUGUUUUUUCCGAAAUUGUUGAUAAUUUCAGAUCUGAAGUUUAAUUUUGUUUUCUACAAAGAUUCAUUAUAUUAAAAGAAAAUUGAUAGAUGUCGGCUUCUUCACCAUACUGGUGUUACAGAUGCGACCGAUUCGUUACCGUUUGGACCCAAGAUUCCUUCACUUGCCCCGAUUGUAAUGGUGGGUUCGUGGAAGAAAUCGACACUCCUGACCGGCGCCGCCGUUUCCCCGCCGCCUCCAUGUACAUGGCGCAAACACCGGAGUCAAGUCCCGGAUUGGGGUCCGGAUCCAGCUCGAGGCUCAGAAGGAGCCGCAGGAAUGGGGGUAACCGGUCACCCUUUAACCCGGUCAUCGUGCUCCGUGGGCCGAACGAGGGAGGAGGUGGAGCGGCGGCUGGAGGAUUUGAACUGUAUUACGACGAUGGAGCAGGAAUAGGUUUGCAGCCGCUGCCUACUAGUAUGUCUGAGUUUUUGCUCGGAUCGGGUUUUGACAGAUUGCUAGACCAAUUGGCCCAAAUUGAGGCUAAUGGUGUCGGGCGAAUCAGUAUUAAUCCUCCAGCCUCGAAGGCCGCUAUCGAAUCGAUGCCCACAAUUGAGAUAGUUGAUGAGCAUAUUGCCACUGAGUCUCACUGUGCAGUUUGUAAGGAGGCUUUCGAGCUGCGAAGUGAGGCUCGAGAAAUGCCUUGCAAGCAUUUAUACCAUCAGGAUUGCAUCUUACCGUGGCUGUCGUUAAGGAAUUCGUGUCCAGUUUGCAGAUAUGAGUUGCCGACUGAUGGUAAUAACUAUGGUAUUAGCAAUAGUGACCCAAGUGAAGUGCAUCGAAGAGUAAACGAGGUGGGGAAUGGUGACGAAGCUGUUGGAUUGACGAUAUGGAGAUUGCCUGGUGGUGGGUUUGCUGUGGGCCGGUUUUCAGGAGGGAGGAGGGAUGGGGAGAGGCAGUCACCAGUGGUAUAUACUGAGAUGGAUGGUGGGUUUAAUAAUAAUGGUGUUCCAAGAAGGAUUUCAUGGGGCUCUAGAGGGAGUGUGUCACGGGAGAGGGGUGGAUUCAGGAGGAUUCUGCACAGCUUGUUUGCUUGUUUUGGCCGGGGUAGAUCAUCAACUUCUAAUUCUAACUUGGAUUAUUGAAUAAUUUGAAGGUGCGGCUUGUUUUCGUGAAGUGGAGGAUGAAGUUAUAAAGUUAAUGAUGGAAGUAGAAGAUGAUGGUAAACUUUGAAGCUUAAUUGGCUGCAGAGAAUCAAUAUCGGUGGAAGACUGUGUGAUACAUCGGGAUUAAAUGAAUAUAAAAUAGUCAAUAAUAUCACUUGAGCUUUGUCUUCUGUUGAAGAAUUAUUGCUGCAGCAAUGUCUUGAUAGUGAAUGAGAUGGAUAUGGAACUUGAGAAAAAGAAUUGAAGAUGAAGAAGAGACAGAGCGACUAAUUCAUUAUGCGAGAAGCUGGUGUUGGUAUUAAUGGCUCCUGUGUACACCACACCACCGAAGUACUUUGAACUUUCAGCGCAUUUCUGCAAUUUAUAAUUUGCUUGACACCACUGUUAUUAUGGUUAGUUAUUUAUUUUCUGUAAUCUAUAUUAAAGUUUAGAGUAUGAGUUAAUGCUUUGUGUGACAUUUUUCGAUGGGCACAUCAUUUAUAUAUAAUUAUAUAUAUCCUACCUUGGAAGUUUAGUUUAGGCAUUGCCUCAUUGUUGUGAAAAAACAGAUUUUAUUCUUAUUCAAUUCUUUUAAUUAAAUGACUACUUUUAAAGUUGAUCUUGUUUACUUGGAUGUUGGUUUUAGCAACAGGCCCCCAUUACGUGGAAAAAUUAAUGAGUGGAAUAAUAUUUUUCUGAAAAAUGAGUGGUUGAAAGAGAAGUGUAAUAUUAUUUUAUGGAAGAUUGUGUGGUUGAAAUUAGGAAAGAGAAAAAUGAAAUGUAAUUGAACGAAAAUUAAUGGUCUCAUCUUGUUUUCUUGUAGAAGUUUUGGGGGAGAAAUAUGAGUUUGCUACCAGUUGGAUGGUGCUUUAGGGUCUCAUUUAAUAGUGUUGCUCCAUCUUGCAACUAAGCCCCUGUUUGAGCUCCAUUCAUUCUUUCCCAAAAUCAUUUUCAACCAUCUCUCUCCAAAUAAAAUAAUUUCUGUACGUAAAUCCAAAACUAUCCCCAAAACACGGGGCUAACUGCAAUUGUUCAAAAUCAGCUUCACAUCCAUAUUAGUGUUUUGACCAUGAAGAUUGUGAACUUGUGCUCUAUGUUGUAACUGUAUGAUGUGAUUUAAAUAAUUUGGAUGUUUUUAUUUUCUUGUAAAAAUGUCUGUUAGCUAUCAUACGUCUCUCAUUUAAAAUGUCAUUCUAUCUUGCAACCUACUAUUACUGUUCACGAACAACUUCAAAUUGUUAUAUUCUGAAAAAGGCUAUACAUAUUAGUGUUUUGGCUAUGAGAUUGUGAACUUGUGCUCCAUGCUGUCACUGAUUUGAUUUUAAAAUUUUUUAUAAUAUCAUGUUGUUUUCUUGUAGAAGAAAUGUGGGGGGGAGAAAUUUAU